rnacentral:misc_RNA from 1 species
AUUACACAUGUAUAUAGUGUUUAUUCUAUAAUAUUAUUAAGUAUCAACUCAUAAAGUUAUUAGGUAAAAAAAUAGCUUUAUCAAUUAAUAAAGUGUUAUUGUGUGACUCUGUCAUACCAUAAUUUGACCACUACUUGGAUCUCAAGAUACAAAUUGUGAUAUAAAAAAGUCAUGCAACAACACUAACAGCAAACCAAUACAAAUCUAC